GAUGAACGCUAGCUACAGGCUUAACACAUGCAAGUCGAGGGGCAGCAUGGUCUUAGCUUGCUAAGGCCGAUGGCGACCGGCGCACGGGUGAGUAACACGUAUCCAACCUGCCGUCUACUCUUGGACAGCCUUCUGAAAGGAAGAUUAAUACAAGAUGGCAUCAUGAGUCCGCAUGUUCACAUGAUUAAAGGUAUUCCGGUAGACGAUGGGGAUGCGUUCCAUUAGAUAGUAGGCGGGGUAACGGCCCACCUAGUCUUCGAUGGAUAGGGGUUCUGAGAGGAAGGUCCCCCACAUUGGAACUGAGACACGGUCCAAACUCCUACGGGAGGCAGCAGUGAGGAAUAUUGGUCAAUGGGCGCAGGCCUGAACCAGCCAAGUAGCGUGAAGGAUGACUGCCCUAUGGGUGGUAAACUUCUUUUAGAAAGGAAUAAAGUCGGGUAUGUAUACCCGUUUGCAUGUACUUUAUGAAUAAGGAUCGGCUAACUCCGUG
rnacentral:rRNA from 1 species